UACAGAGGGUGCGAGCGUUAAUCGGAAUUACUGGGCGUAAAGGGUGCGUAGGUGGUUUUGUAAGUAACAUGUGAAAGUCCUGAGCUUAACUUGGGGAUUGCAUGUUAAACUGCAAAGCUGGAGUGUUGUAGAGGAUAGCGGAAUUUCCGGUGUAGCGGUGAGAUGCGUAGAUAUCGGAAGGAACAUCAGUGGCGAAGGCGGCUAUCUGGACAACAACUGACACUGAGGCACGAAAGCGUGGGGAGCAAACAGG
rnacentral:rRNA from 1 species